CCUGUCACUAUUUUCUCUUUAGAUGUCUCCAGCUACUAUGAUUCUGUCCUUCAGAAAAGUCAAAGUUCAUGAGACUUUCCUGAUAGACAUAACACAGGCUAGAGCCAAAAUUCUGAUGCUGUGCACCAAAGUCCUUUCCUGUUUGGGGCUGCUGAGUGUAGUUUGAACUGCGAGUCUGGACCUGCUCUCUCAGUGAAGGCACAACCUCUUGAACUCUGAUUUUGAACUGUAGUUGUGGCUAAUGCUGCUCACGAUCCAAAAACCUAAUUCAGCAUUGAAAAUAUAAGCUUCCAACCUCUAACCUGGAACAUUCUGUCUCAGAAAGGACAGUGUGUACACUUGAAUGGAAAGACCAGAUCCUGGUGCUUUCCCACAAGAAGUUGCUGAAUGUGGCUACCUGGAAGGACAACCAAAGAGGGCUGCCAGAGAGGAGGCCACUACCAAUUAGUCAAGCAACCUCAGCUGCAUCAUCACAAGCAUCUGUAGUAUGGAGGUCUGGUAAACACGGUGUGGGCCUCUUCCUUCCCUGGAUGCCACCAUCAAGUGAGAUAUAGGUCGUUCACAUCACUGUGUGAACCUAGAAUUCCUCUGCAGGUAAGGGCUUGGGAAAAGGGUCAUGUGCAGAAGUGCUAGUGGUUGAUAUCACUGGUUAUUCCUUAAAUAUGAGAAAUCCGAGUAUCCAGCUGUUACAGAGCACCUUCCUUCCUUGAUUCAGCAAAGAUGCUGCUCACUAACCUAUCAGUGGGGUGGUGGCAGAUGGGGAGCAAGCAGAGUAUCAUAGGCUUGCCUCUCAAUGUGAUUGGUAAUUCCUGGAAGAUCAUUAGUGGAGGGAUGUUCAGGGUCUUAGAAACUCCUCUUCGCUCUCAUCUGACACAUGGCAGCAUGUACUGACAGAGGUCCCUCUAACCCUUAUAAGAACACCCUGAAGGCAAUAUUUAGAUUAUGAUUGGAGAUGAGACAUUCAGAGGGAGAGAGGCAGUGUGCCUCACCAAGCAUGACUUGGGAGCCACAGUUUGAUAACUUUAACUGAUGAAGGGAACCACCAGAUAUCUUCCACUGUUGUCCCUGGGUUGUUUUAGAGUCGUGAUUAUCUGGAACAAGACCUUUUUAGUUUCAUUUCCACCACAGUGACUGGAACUUCCAGGUUAUACUGCAUUGCCACAGUGAAGCCAAGGCACAUGUGCAAAGGGGACACCCAUGUCAUAUCCACAGUCAAGAGCAGAGAUAAAUAAAUGCAUGCAUGUAAGCUUGCUUGCAUGUGAUCAUCUAAAGCUCUGUGCUAUUGUGCAGGCUGGUACCCAAUCCUAAGGAAUGGCACUGCCCAAAUUGUUGUUGUUCAAUUAAGAUAAUGAGCUUGAUCCUCUAUAGACAGGCUCACAGGUGAACUUCAUCUAGAGCAUUCCUCUGUGAAGACUCUCCCUCCAGGUCACUUCUCCUGCACUACUUUAGAUUUCUAAUUAAAGGGCAUGAAUUGCUCCCAGUGGCACCAUAUCUCCCAACAUUGAAAAUUGUCAGAUUUUGUGACUAGAGGUUUCAGCUUCUCAUUUACCUAGGCUCAAACCUGACAUCUUGUAGUGUGUCCUACCUAGCCCUCUCAGCUUCUCCCUACAUUAUACCUGACACUGUUUUCACUCAGCCAUCAGCUCAUCACUGGGAUGUCUCUACUGUGUCCUUGACUAAUGCUUUCUACACAGGGAUUAAGAUUUCAUAGCAGAUUCCUUUGCCUUCAGGUUGAUCUUUUUUUCUAUUUCCUCUGCCAGGUGCUUUUCCAGGUGUGGAGUCCCUCCCUCCAAAAGAGGUUAGCAACUGGUCAGACUUUCAGUGCAUUUUACUUCUGCUAGCCUGUGCUUUGAGUAGGUCCAAUUCAGUGCUACUAGGUAUGUAUGAUGCCUACAGACUUUACCGUAACUUUUACAGAUGGUAUGGGCACUGAGAGUAUGUAACCCCACAAAGCAUUUUAAAUUAGUUACAUAUGUUCUCACUUAUGACCUAUUUGCUGUCUCCUCUGUCUGUCUCUUAUUUUCUCAGUUUCUGUAUCUGUCUGUUACAGCUUGUCUCUGUCUCUGCAUUUGUUUCUGACUCUCUUCUGUUCUCUUUCUCUUUUCCUCUGGGUCUCUGUCUCUGUUUUUCUGUCUUUCUGUCUCUCUCUGCUCUCUGUCUUUUUCUCUCUUUGUCUCUCUCUGUGUCUCUCUUCUCCCCCCUCCCCCACCCUGUGUGUGUGUGUGUGUGUGUGUCUCUGUGUCUCUCUUCUCCCCCCUCCCCACCCUGUGUGUGUGUGUGUGUGUGUGUGUCUCUGUGUCUCUCUUCUCCCCCCCUCCCCCACCCUGUGUGUGUGAGUGUGUGUGUGUAUGUGUGUGUGUGUGUUUUG
rnacentral:lncRNA from 1 species